rnacentral:rRNA from 1 species
GAUGAACGCUAGCGGCAGGCCUAAUACAUGCAAGUCGAACGGUCCGCUUCGGCGGAUAGUGGCGCACGGGUGCGUAACACGUAUGCAACCUACCUUACAUUGGGGGAUAGCCUUUCGAAAGGGAGAUUAAUACCGCAUAAGACAGUAGCUGGGCAUCCAGUAGCUGUUAAAGAUUUAUCGAUGUAAGCUGGGCAUGCGUCCAAUUAGUUAGUUGGUGAGGUAACGGCUCACCAAGACGAUGAUUGGUAGGGGAACUGAGAGGUCAAUCCCCCACACUGGCACUGAGAUACGGGCCAGACUCCUACGGGAGGCAGCAGUAGGGAAUAUUGGGCAAUGGACGCAAGUCUGACCCAGCCAUGCCGCGUGCAGGAAGAAGGCGUUCUGCGUUGUAAACUGCUUUUAUAUAGGAAGAAACGACCCUUGCGAGGGGCAUUGACGGUAUUAUAUGAAUAAGCACCGGCUAACUCCGUGCCAGCCGCCGCGGUAAGAC